CCAUAGUCAAAAACUUUUUCUAAAAAAUCAUCAAAAAGAAAUUCUCAAAUAUGAACCAGAAGGCUGAUAAGGACACUAAUCAAAUAAAAGAAAGCGAAAGCAACCCGUUUGGAACUUGCGAGAAAAAAAAUGCCACGAUCAAACAUCCAGAUAGCCGCGGAACCACUGGGAAAACAAUUCUUGAUACAUUAUUUUGAAGCAGAGUCAUGUCCAUGAGCAUAACUUAAACACAACUUAUAGUUUUUCUGUUUUAUCAUCCAAAAUAAAGCUGAGACACAUCCAUAAAAAUCUCAACUUGGUUUUGUUCCGAG
rnacentral:lncRNA from 1 species